AUUGAACGCUGGCGGCAUGCUUUACACAUGCAAGUCGAACGGCAGCGCGGGCUUCGGCUUGGCGGCGAGUGGCGAACGGGUGAGUAAUGCAUCGGAACGUGCCCAGUAGUGGGGGAUAGCCCGGCGAAAGCCGGAUUAAUACCGCAUACGACCUGUGGGUGAAAGCGGGGGACCGAAAGGCCUCGCGUUAUUGGAGCGGCCGAUGCCGGCUUAGCUCGUUGGUGGGGGAAAGUCUUACCAAGGCGACGAUCCGUAGCUGGUCUGAGAGGACGACCAGCCACACUGGGACUGAGACACGGCCCAGACUCCUACGGGAGGCAGCAGUGGGGAAUGUUGGACAAUGGGGGCAACCCUGAUCCAGCCAUGCCGCGUGCGGGAAGAAGGCCUUCGGGUUGUAAACCGCUUUUGUUCGGGAAGAAAUCCUCUGGGCUAAUACCCCGGGGGGAUGACGGUACCGGAAGAAUAAGCACCGGCUAACUACGUG
rnacentral:rRNA from 1 species